rnacentral:rRNA from 1 species
GACGAACGCUGGCGGCGUGCUUAACACAUGCAAGUCGAACGGAAAGGCUCCAGCUUGCUGGAGUACUCGAGUGGCGAACGGGUGAGUAACACGUGGGUAAUCUGCCCUGCACUCUGGGAUAAGCCUGGGAAACUGGGUCUAAUACUGGAUAUGACCUUUCUCCUUAUGGGGUUUGGCGGAAAGUUUUUCGGUGUAGGAUGAGCCCGCGGCCUAUCAGCUUGUUGGUGGGGCGAUGGCCUACCAAGGCGACGACGGGUAGCCGGCCUGAGAGGGUGAUCGGCCACAUUGGGACUGAGAUACGGCCCAGACUCCUACGGGAGGCAGCAGUGGGGAAUAUUGCACAAUGGGCGGAAGCCUGAUGCAGCGACGCCGCGUGAGGGAUGACGGCCUUCGGGUUGUAAACCUCUUUCAGCAGGGACGAAGCGUAAGUGACGGUACCUGCAGAAGAAGCACCGGCUAACUACGUG